rnacentral:rRNA from 1 species
ACGGGUGAGUAACACGUAUCCAACCUGCCGUCUACUCUUGGCCAGCCUUCUGAAAGGAAGAUUAAUCCAGGAUGGCAUCAUGAGUUCACAUGUCCGCAUGAUUAAAGGUAUUUCCGGUAGACGAUGGGGAUGCGUUCCAUUAGAUAGUAGGCGGGGUAACGGCCCACCUAGUCAACGAUGGAUAGGGGUUCUGAGAGGAAGGUCCCCCACAUUGGAACUGAGACACGGUCCAA